UACGGAGGGUGCAAGCGUUAAUCGGAAUUACUGGGCGUAAAGCGCACGCAGGUGGCUGAGUCAGUCGAUUGUGAAAGCCCUGGGCUUAACCUGGGAAUUGCAGUCGAUACUACUCAGCUAGAGUAUGGGAGAGGCAGUGGAAUUCCCGGUGUAGCGGUGAAAUGCGUAGAUAUCGGGAGGAACAUCAGUGGCGAAGGCGGCUGCCUGGCCCAAUACUGACACUCAGGUGCGACAGCGUGGGGAGGCAAACAGG
rnacentral:rRNA from 1 species